rnacentral:rRNA from 1 species
UACAGAGACUGCAAGCGUUAUUCGGAUUCACUGGGCGUAAAGGGUGCGCAGGCGGCCAAGUGUGUGAGGCGUGAAAGCCCGGGGCUUAACCCCGGAAUUGCCCCUCAAACUACAUGGCUAGAGCAUUGGAGAGGGUAGCGGAAUUCACGGUGUAGCAGUGAAAUGCGUAGAUAUCGUGAGGAACACCAGAGGCGAAGGCGGCUACCUGGACAAUUGCUGACGCUCAGGCACGAAAGCGUGGGGAGCAAACAGG